ensembl:snoRNA
AUGGCCCUGACUGAAGACGAGCAGUUUAUGCUAUAGCUGUUGGUUUCAAGCAGAGACCUACAGGAAUAUCUUCCUAUGGUUUGUUGGCUGCUCUGGAACCUCAGUGGAGAAUGACUCUUGCAUUUGGAAGAAACAACU